UACGUAGGUGGCAAGCGUUAUCCGGAUUUACUGGGUGUAAAGGGCGUGUAGGCGGGGACGCAAGUCAGAUGUGAAAACCACGGGCUCAACCUGUGGCCUGCAUUUGAAACUGUGUUUCUUGAGUACUGGAGAGGCAGACGGAAUUCCUAGUGUAGCGGUGAAAUGCGUAGAUAUUAGGAGGAACACCAGUGGCGAAGGCGGUCUGCUGGACAGCAACUGACGCUGGGGCGCGAAAGCGUGGGGAGCAAACAGG
rnacentral:rRNA from 1 species